rnacentral:lncRNA from 1 species
GGCAUUGGCGCAUCUGGGAACCGACGUCCGUGCGCGGCUGGCUAGAAUGCUGGACUCGCCUCCGCAGCGCUGUGAGUCCCCAAGAGGUGGCUGGCGGUCUCUGGGAGUUCUUCCUCGCACUCAGGCCCCUCGCUGUCUUUGCCGAGAUUUAUUUCUCCUAUCCACUCACCCUGAUCCGAGCUGAGAUUGGCUCCUCAGCAAAGACAGACAUAUUUAGCAGUGGUAACAACCAAAUGUCGCUAAUUAUAAUUACCAAAAAGCAUUUUUCCCCCUAAGUGCUGCGACUUCUGGUAUCAAAGGCUAAGACUGUCAAUGUAGAAAUGAGUCCGUCCUUCACAGAACGCACUGCGUAGCCGGGAAGCUGAGCCUAGACCGUAUCCAUUUCUCGUCCACUCCUGCCUUCAGGGCCCAGCCCAGCAGAAUCCCAGAGGCUCCCUCUUCCCACCCAAGCUCGAACAGAGUGUUUGGAGACUGGGCUCGGACGUCAGCACCCAUCAGGUGUUUGGUGGGUAGGGCCAGGUGGCAGUAAGUGGGCGGAGACUAAAGGUCUCCUCCACCAAGGAAUCAAAUCGAAAGGGAACUUCAAGAGGUUACUCUGGCCAGGCGCAGUGGUUCACGCCUGUAAUCCCAGCACUUUGGGAACCCGGGGAGGGCGGAUCACGAAGUCAGGAGUUCGAGACCAGCCUGGCCAAUGUGGGGAAACCCUGUCUCUACUAAAAAAAUACAAAAAUUAGCCGGUCGUGGUGGCGGGCGCCUGUAGUUCCAGCUAUUUGGGAGGCUGGGGCAGGAGAAUCGCUUGAACCCGGGAGGCGCAGGUUGCAGUGAGCCGAGAUCGCGCCACUGCACUCCAGCCUGGGUGACAGAGUGAGACGUCGUCUCAAAAAAAAAAAAGAGGUUACUAUGUACUUUCUUGGAUCUAACUCACAUUUCUCUUAUUGCAGCUCAGAGACCCAUUUUCCCCGGAACAUUGUUUUUUUGUUUUGUUUUGUUUUGUUUUUGAGACGACGGAGUCUCGCUCUGUCUCCCAGGCUGGAGUGCAGUGGCGCGAUCUCCGCUCACUGCAACCUCUGCCUCCGGGGUUCAAGCGAUUCUCCUGCCUCAGCCUCCUGAGUAGCUGGGAUUACAGGCGCCCACCACCAUGCCCGGCUAAUUUUUGUAUUUUUAGUAGAGACGGGGUUUCGCCGUGUUGGUCAGGCUGGUCUCGAACUCCUGACCUCGUGAUCCACCCCGCCGCCUCCCAAAGUGCUGGGAUUACAGGCGUGAGCCACCCUGCCUGGCCUCCCCGAGCAUUCUUUUCUCCAUCUAUUCUUAAAAUAAUAAGAACAAAACACCAUGUAUUAAGCACAUACGCAGCAGGAAUUAUGCUAAUAAUGAACAUUUAUACACUACUUUGGGCGUGUCCAAGUUUGGUGGGUCCUGAAGCUUGUGCAAUCUGGGGUGCUCUUUAAGAAUAAAAUUAUUUUGUACUCAUAAGAAUUAUGAGUACAAAAUUAGAUUCAGAGCCUGGGAAAGGGUCCUGGCCUAGCUUUACAGUUUACAAAUCAUUUCACAAGCAGGCUCAUUUUAUCCUCCUGGCCUCCCUGUGAGGUGGGGAUUAUGAUAUUCAUUUGACUUAGGAGAAAACAGAGCCUCAGGAGGUUACCUGCCUGUCCAAGAUCUGAAUUUUAUGGGAGGCAGAGCUAGGACUGAAGCCGCUGACCACAACCGUGUCUUUAAGAAGACAAACUCCAGGCAGAUGGUUGUCAGACAGCUAGACAUGCCUAAACAAAAGCAGCUGUGAUAACAGCUUUCUCUGUGGUGUUUGGGGAGAAGACACUUGUCUCUAACGGCCCUUAGAACAGGAUUUGUUCCUGACCUCUGACUUCCAGAGCCACCCAGCCUCUCUCAUGGUCUGCUUUGUGGCCCAGGGCCUGCAGGGAUUAGAAGACAUGUGGGGUCAAGGAACAGGAAGCUGACCUGGAUGGAAGUUGAACAGUGAUCUUUGCUCUCUGCCUGGCUCCUGAGUCCUCUGCCAUGUUCCUGGAGAAGAGGAGCCAGCCAGGGUAAGAAGGGCAGGGGCUUAGGGUGGAAACGCCAUGUGGGUGAGGAUCCUGCCUGAAACAGCUUUGAGAGUCCUGCGAUGACAGAUUGGCCCCAUGCCAGGCCUUAUCUCUUUGGACAUCCCAAACAGGAAUGACCAGCAUGUCCGAUCCUGGGACUGGGAGCCGGAAAGGGAUGAGGGAUGGUUUUUCCACUCCAGGGGAGUGUCCAGAGGGAAUGUGGAGCAGAGCAGGGGCGACUGGUAGGGGGAGGGCCUGAGCUAAAGAAUGUGGGGGAGUGUCAGACCAGUCUGGGGAGAUGGAGUGGGAGUGGAGGGAGACAUGGAGACUAGAAGGAUCUCAGCUGGAGAGAUGGAGAAAGAGAAAUCUCAGGGUUCUUUGGUUUCAGUGGCACCGUCGUCUGUAGGAUCAUCUCAUCCCUCAGUUGACUUUAUCAUGUCAACUCUUUAUCUGUCAACCCUCCCCCAUGGGGAAGAGACCCACCUAGAAACACACAGACAGACAGAGAAACAAGGACACAGGAAUAAUAUGUGUAAUGAGGAGUCUAAGUCCAUUUGUUGAUGUUUGCUGACAGAUUUUAAGCCUCACCCUUCCCUCUUCUCUGUGCCCUACACCUGGACAAGCUGAUAAGAAAGUCUGGGUGCACCCUCCUUUGGUGUUUGAGGGGGAAUAUUCACAAGCCCCUUCCUGAGGGAACCCUCACCCCUCAACCACAAUAAAAACCCAGGCCAGUCUCCUUCCUGGCUCUCCCAACACAUCUGGGACCUGCUUGAAAGACUGCCCCUGCUCCCCCUGGAGACCUCAAUUAUGUAAAUAAUAAACCUUUUCAUACUCUCUUGGUGUUUGGGUGGUGUCGUCAGUCUUCAUUCAAACCAAACCUUGGAUGGGAUCCAUCUGCCUCUGCAGGUGACCGUAACAACAUGCAAAUGGUGAGUUCUGCUGGGGGGUCAUGGAAGCUCCCUGGAGGAGGUGUAUCUGGACAACAGGGAAAGAAAGGAGCUGGAGAAGAGAGGCAGAAAAAUUGGGUCCUGGUUCAGGUGAAGUUUUCCCAGCUGGAACAAUGACAAUGUCAAUAUCCCACAAAGGCGGCUUCUGUUUAUUUAGCGCUUGCUGUGUUCCCACAAGUCUUCCUCUACCUGCCCUCUCCCCAGCCCUCAUCUCACUCUCCCAGAGCCCCAGAGCACACCAAUGGACACCAUCACCUCUCGGGCAGAUCAGCACAGAGACGUGAAGCACACAGGCAGCUGCUGGAAAAAUAACAAGGAAUUGCAAUGGUGUGCCCCUCCGUUGAAUGCAAGCUCUCUUCUGCCUUCUCACCUUGGGCAAGUUACCUUCCGUUCCAGGCCUCGGUUUCUCCAUGUGUGAAAUGAAAGGGCUGGAGAGAAAUCUCUCACUAUUCCCCAAUCUACAUUCAUUGUAUCCCAAACCUUCUAAUAUCUGUUCAACGAAGUGUACCAAAUCUCAGCUAUUGGACUGAGACUCAGGGGUCUAUCUGACUUGAAUUGAAAAUGCAAAUUACUGAAGAGGGAGGGAGGGAGGAGUGCUGAAGAUUGAAUGGAUUUAUCAGAUUUCCUUCUCCUAUGGCCCAGAUGCAGGCCUAGUCCAGGCGAUUCCCCUGGCUCAGAAUCUGCCAGGCUCAAGCAUUCAUUGACAGCCUACUAUGUACCAAUCCUGGGCUGAGUCCCAACC